UGGUGGUGCAUGGCCGUUCUUAGUUGGUGGAGUGAUUUGUCUGGUUAAUUCCGAUAACGAACGAGACCUUAACCUGCUAACUAGAUUCUAUCAUCUUAUGAUUGAUAUCUUCUUAGAGGGACUAUGUAAAACAAAUACAUGGAAGUUUGAGGCAAUAACAGGUCAGUGAUGCCCUUAUAUGUCCUGGGCUGCACGCGUGCUACACUGAUGUAUACAACAAGUGCCUAACCAGACAUGGUAUGGCAAUCUCGAAUAUGCAUCGUGAUAGGGAUAGAUCUUUGCAAUUA
rnacentral:rRNA from 1 species